GCUGUGGUGAAAUCGGUAAACACGCCAGGUUCAGGGCCUGGUGGGCGCAAGCCCUUGAAGGUUCAAGUCCUUUCAGCCGCACUCCA
rnacentral:tRNA from 1 species